rnacentral:rRNA from 1 species
UACGGGGGGGGCAAGCGUUGUUCGGAAUUACUGGGCGUAAAGGGCUCGUAGGUGGCCGACUAAGUCAGACGUGAAAUCCCCAGGCUCAACUUGGGAACUGCGUCUGAUACUGGAUGGCUUGAAUUCGGGAGAGGGAUGCAGAAUUCCAGGUGUAGCGGUGAAAUGCGUAGAUAUCUGGAGGAAUACCGGUGGCGAAGGCGGCAUCCUGGACCGAUAUUGACACUGAUGAGCGAAAGCCAGGGGAGCAAACGGG